rnacentral:rRNA from 1 species
AACGAACGCUGGCGGCAUGCCUACCCAUGCAAGUCGAACGAGACCUUCGGGUCUAGUGGCGCACGGGUGCGUAACGCGUGGGAACCUGCCCUUAGGUUCGGAAUAACUCCCCGAAAGGGGUGCUAAUACCGGAUAAUGUCUUCGGACCAAAGAUUUAUCGCCUUUGGAUGGGCCCGCGUUGGAUUAGCUAGUUGGUAGGGUAAAAGCCUACCAAGGCGACGAUCCAUAGCUGGUCUGAGAGGAUGAUCAGCCACACUGGGACUGAGACACGGCCCAGACUCCUACGGGAGGCAGCAGUGGGGAAUAUUGGAUAAUGGGCGAAAGCCUGAUCCAGCAAUGCCGCGUGAGUGAUGAAGGCCUUAGGGUUGUAAAGCUCUUUUACCCGGGAUGAUAAUGACAGUACCGGGAGAAUAAGCUCCGGCUAACUCCGUG